rnacentral:lncRNA from 1 species
UUAGCCAAUGUGCUACUCACUACAUUUGACUACCUUUUUUUGUUGUUUUUGUGUUAUGAAUGUCAUUUUCGCCUCCCUUGCUCUAUCCAUCAGGUUCCAGGUGAAAAAGAAGAAAGCCUGUCGUAAUUUCAUGAGCAUCAUGCUUUCUGAGUGCAAGAUCAAGAGACAUUUGCAAGCUCUCUCUUCACCCUUCAGUUGUGCUAUACCUGUUACAAGAGGUACUUUUCUCUCUAAGAACUGCUUGGUUUUUAAAGUGUUCUAGAUUCUAAUUUCAGUACUUUUAUGAGUAAAUUGAUUUAUAAGGACUCUUUAAGGUUGUUUUGUUGGUUUGGCUAAGCAAAUAACCUACCGCAUACGUUGUCAGUAAAAUCCACGUGUCACCUCGUAAAACUAAAAUGAUUGUAGUUUCUGUUGAGACCACAGUCUAAGAAAAUGAUUGGUGAGAACUGAGAACCGGUUUGAUAGUCUAUUUUGGUUUUGGAACUUAUUGCAAAAGCUUCUCGAACAAAGUACUGCGACUUAGUUAUUGUUAGAGCUUAUUAUGUUCAUAUAGCACAAAAUCUACCAAGAAGCAUCUUUAGUUGAGCACGAGAGAAAAUUUAAUAAUGUAUUUAUGUCUUUCUACAGGAGAAUGGAACUUUAAAAUUGGCUGCAACAUAUCACUUUCUAUGCUUAUAGGUUUGUGCUUAUGUUUUAGUUAGCUUCCAGCUUUCACUUUGGUUUUCUCAAUUUGUUUAUGUGUUUAGGAAGGAAUCUGCACUAUUGCCAGCAAUUCUGUUUCAUUUAGAAGAUCACUGCAUUUGGACAUUUUUAUUUGAUUGAGAAAGUAGUAUUCUUUAAUUAAUUUCUCAAAACAGUUUUCUGGUAAGCAAAAUAUCCUGCAACUAUACCUCCGUCCAGGCACCAGGACACCACAUUUCUUUCCAGCUUCAGUGCCAUUGUGUUUAACCUUCAUUCAAAUUUAGAACCCACAAAUAAUGCCCAAAAUACACUUGAUUAAACUUCACUUUGCUUAAAAUAUACAAGGAGAGUAUCGAACUAAUUGUAGAUCCGUCCAAGACAAUCCCACGCUAGAUCCCACAUUUGAAACGAGGUAAACUAUUGAGACUUGAAAUUGAUACUGUCAAAAUCUGUUUAAGAACUAUGCCAAUUCAAACGAGUUGCUGUCAUUUUCUUAUAUAGAGUAGAAAAUUGAUUCAGAGAUCCCAUAUUGACUUUGAAUGGUAUGUUAGAUGAGUGUUACAUUUUUGUCUAUUGUGAGUUUUGUGUGUGAAUAUAUGCAGACAAUAACUUAAAUGUAUUCAUCAUAAAGGAAUUGCUCCUAUUAUAUAACUGUUAAGAUAAAGCUUGUGAUUCUCAAGUAAUGUUACAAAGAAUACAUGUAUGUUGCCCCUGACAGAUUUCUCGGUCUUAAAAAAGAUAGUACAUGUAUGUUAUUUUCUUAUUCCAUUAGAGUUUGGUAUAUACGGCAAAUUGAAAAUGUUUAAAACUGUUUGUGAUUUGACUGUUUUCCUCUGUUAACAGAUUGGGUAUUUUCUAUUCACAUAACUCUGGUUCGGGUAUCGGGCUGGAACUUUCGACUUCCGCGCUUUUAAAACCUGGUAUACACAUGCUAUUAGCACCAUGUUAACAUGUGGUCUGUAUCAUCACAUUUCAUUAUUGAAGUCUCUCUGUCAAGGUGUGAGUUUACUUGUUAAGACAUGAUCAUUCCGACUUCUGUAAAUAUGAUUAUCCCAUUUAAUACUUCGCAGAUGUCUCAUGAUGCUUAUUUCACUCAGAAGAAUCUCCAGAAUAGGCGUGUAUAUUAGUGCAACAAGUGACACAUGUGGAAUAAGUAAAGAGGAAAAUGAUACAUUUGUUUGAGUUGGAUUGAUGCGUAGAUCUCCAAAGGACGUGUUCUGCUUCUAGGAGGGCUGCAAGUGCAAAAAGAGCUAGGGAUUUGUAAGACUAUAGCCACCCUGCAUUUUAUCAGUCUGUGGAAUGAAAGAAACCAAAUAUGUGAAGCAAAGUCUACGGUUGUACAAUUUUUGAAGUUCCAAGUGUUAACCUAGCCUCUGGUGUAUAUUAAAAUUUUAUGUACAUGAUUAUAGGGGUGUUCGUCGGUCGGUACAAUACUGUACUUAGACAUUUCGGUUUGGUAUUUUCAGUAUUCG